GACGAACGCUGGCGGCGUGCUUAACACAUGCAAGUCGAACGGUGAAGCGCCUUCCUUUUUGGUGGGUGUGGAUGAGUGGCGAACGGGUGAGUAACCCGUGAGUAACCUGCCCCCUUCUUCUGGAUAACCGCAUGAAAGUGUGGCUAAUACGGGAUAUUCUGGGUCUGUCGCAUGAUGGGUCUGGGAAAGAUAUUGUUUCGGUGGGGGAUGGGCUCGCGGCCUAUCAGCUUGUUGGUGGGGUGAUGGCCUACCAAGGCGGUGACGGGUAGCCGGCCUGAGAGGGUGGACGGUCCCACUGGGACUGAGACACGGCCCAGACUCCUACGGGAGGCAGCAGUGGGGAAUAUUGCACAAUGGGCGCAAGCCUGAUGCAGCGACGCCGCGUGAGGGAUGGAGGCCUUCGGGUUGUGAACCUCUUUCGCCAGUGAAGCAGGCCUGCCUCGUUUGUGGGUGGGUUGACGGUAGCUGGAUAAGAAGCGCCGGCUAACUACGUG
rnacentral:rRNA from 1 species